rnacentral:rRNA from 1 species
UACGUAGGUAACAAGCGUUGUCCGGAUUUACUGGGCGUAAAGAGCGCGCAGGCGGUCGUUCAAGUCGAGUGUGAAAGCCCCCGGCUCAACUGGGGAGGGUCAUUCGAUACUGAUCGACUGGAAGGCAGGAGAGGGAAGUGGAAUUCCCGGUGUAGUGGUGGAAUGCGUAGAGAUCGGGAGGAACACCAGUGGCGAAGGCGGUGGCCUGGACCGAUGCUGACGCUGAGGCGCGAAAGCGUGGGGAGCGAUCCGG